rnacentral:lncRNA from 1 species
GAGGACGGGCUUCUUUUCCCGUGCUCAGUUAAUCUGGCUGUCAGUUGGUGUUAACGCUGCAGUUUAAGUGUUCGGAUUCCAAGGGAAACAGACAAACCUCACGAAAGGAAGGAAGCAAGCAAGCAAGGAAGGAACUGCAGGAGGAAAAGAACAGGCAGAACAGCGAGAAGAAUAAAGGGAAAGGGGGGGAAACACCAAAUCUAUGAUUGGACCUGGGCUUCUUUUUCGCCAAUGCAAAAAGGAAUAUGCAGCACAUUUUUGCCUUCUUCUGCACCGGUUUCCUAGGCGCGGUAGUAGGUGCCAAUUUCCCCAACAAUAUCCAGAUCGGGGGAUUAUUUCCAAACCAGCAGUCACAGGAACAUGCUGCUUUUAGAUUUGCUUUGUCGCAACUCACAGAGCCCCCGAAGCUGCUCCCCCAGAUUGAUAUUGUGAACAUCAGCGACAGCUUUGAGAUGACCUAUAGAUGUAAGUAAUUGCUUCUAUUUCUGAGAUGUCUUUCUGCGCUAGACCAAUGAAAGGAGGGCCUGUGGGUAGGUGGUGGUGUUGCAAAAAUGACUUCAGUUGCCAUUCGUCUUUGUAAGAGAAAGCCCUCCAAGAAAAAUUUCUAGAGGCUUCUGAGUGAUUCCAGCAGUUGGCAUUUUAGCCCCUGCAAUGCUUCAUGUAAUGGAUUUGCUUUUUCACUGUCAGCUAACUUUAAUGCCAGCACGAUGGGUGCUUGGGUUGACUGCAUCUUC